GGCCACCAGAGACUGGGAAAGGCCAGGAAGCUCACUCCCCUUCAUCCUUUGGAGAGAGUGCGGCUCUGCCUAAACCCUGAUUUCGAGCUCCUGGCCUCCAGAACCGUGAAAGAGUGAAUAUCUGUUAUUUGAAGCCACCCUGUUCACGGCACUUCCUUAUGGCCGCCCCAAGAAACCAGUCUAGUCACACGAGGCAUCAGCACUCUUCCUCGCUCUCUCUGGAUCCCCCCACCCCCACCCUGCAGGAGGCCAGCUGCCUUGUUGGGAAGCUACCCAAGCAGAUCUGUGGGCGGGUGCACCUGGCACAAAAGGAACUGAGGCCCCCGUCAAUAGCCAGCACCAACUUGUCCCCAUGUGAAGGAGCAGAUCGCACCGUCCCAGUCAGCAUUGGACUGCUGCUGCCUUAGAAAUCCUGAGCCGGCGCGCCUGGUGAAGCCAUUCCCAGGUUCCUGACCCACAGCGACUGUGAGCUGUUACAUGGUCACUGUUGUUUUGAGCACCUAAGUACUGGAGUCAUCAGUUGCGCAGCAAUAGAUAACCAAGACUCAUAUGGAGGCUUCAGGGUAACCUGGAGCAAGAAGAGUUGCGUUUUAUAAUUCACACAUGGCAUUCAGAAUGGUCAGGAGCCCCAGUGCCAUUCACUCUGGGGGACAUUUCCAGCAAUGGGCACCUUGCAUGUGCCAGACACUGUGUUAAGCGUUGGGGCUAUAGAGGUGAGCAUUCCUGCUCGUGGCUGGUGGCCAGCACGGCUCUCCCUCUUCCAGUAGACAGGCAUAGGCAAGAAAGGCUGUACUCAUUUGCAGAGGCAGGAGGAGGAGGGGCCGUGGAGAUGCUAAAAGGAGAAGUCUUCAGCCAUGUGACCCUGCAGAGAAUGAUGUGAAGCUGGCCAUGGUACUAGGAUCUCUGCAGGUACCUGGACGCAUGGCUUCGGGUCCCGCUGAGACACUGUCCUUUAGGUGGUAGUGUCUCUGUGGGAAGAUGGGGGCCCAAAGUCCCACGAUCUUGUUCUGCUCUGCCGACUUGACCAAGUCACACCUGCAGAUCCUUUGAACUACCAAAGGACAUACCUAUCAGCAGCUGCCUCCGAAACAGCACGCCCCUGAGGGUGAGAAGGCUGGCCCUCACCUCCGUCCGAGUCCCAGCCCUGCUUGGUGCUGGGACUUUCUAAAGAGGCUGGAUCGGAACUUGCCACCCACCAACAUCUCCCAGACUGGCCUCUCCCAGACUCGCCCCUCCCGGGCUCAGUUUGGGAUAAGAUAAGAACAGCCAUCGUUUCUGGAUAAUUUACUCAGCAGCAAGCGGUGUCUCUGAUCUUCACAGCGCUCUCCAAGGCACGGGGUUGUGACCCACAUCUGGCAGUCUGGGAAAGUGGGGUUAAGGACCGAGCCCAAGGUCACACGGCUAAUGAGGGGCACAGCUGGGACCCUAAUCUGGGCCUGUCAAACCCUAAAGCCCCUCGUAUCCACGUGCCUCUUGCUGCCACAGAGGGAGACCCAGAGCAUUCAGUCUGGAUUAAGCCAGUGCUGGGAGUUGAGAUUUUCUUCAGGCUCAGGAGUUACUGUGUGUAGGGGGUGAGGUGGAGAGACAUGGGGGGCAGUGAGGUUGCCCAGAGUGGUGGUGAAAGGGGGUGGGCUCUGAUGCCCAACUGCUCAGGGGUGGAGCCGAGCUUCCCUUUGUGCUCCAACUCUCCGAUUCUGCAUCUGAAAGUUGGGAUGGGAGAAUGUACUUCAUUAGGUUGUUGGAAAGAUUAAAAGACAUAGUGUGCCCUGGUUGGUAUGGCUCAGUGGAUUGAGUGCCAACCUGUGGGCCACCGGUUCAACUCCCAGUUAGGGCACAUGCCUGGGUUACGGCCAGAUCCCUGGUGUGGGGUGCACCAGAGGGAACCACACGUGGAUGUUUCUCUCCCUCUCUUUCUCCCUCCCUUCCCCUCUCUCUAAAAAUAAAUAAAU